AUUGAACGCUGGCGGCAGGCUUAACACAUGCAAGUCGAGCGAGCGGCGGACGGGUGAGUAAUGUCUGGGAAACUGCCUGAUGGAGGGGGAUAACUACUGGAAACGGUAGCUAAUACCGCAUACCAUCAGAUGUGCCCAGAUGGGUUUAGCUAGUGGGUGGGGUAAUGGCUCACCUCUGCCACGAUCCCUAGCUGGUCUGAGAGGAUGACCAGCCACACUGGGACGGAGACACGGUCCAGACUCCUACGGGAGGCAGCAGUGGGGAAUAUUGCACAAUGGGGGCAAGCCUGAUGCAGCCAUGCCGCGUGUGUGAAGAAGGCCUUCGGGUUGUAAAGCACUUUCAGCGAGGAGGCUUUACUCGCAGAAGAAGCACCGGCUAACUCCGUGCCAGCCGCCGCGGUAAUAC
rnacentral:rRNA from 1 species